rnacentral:rRNA from 1 species
CUGUCGUCAGCUCGUGUCGUGAGAUGUCGGGUUAAGUCCCGCAACGAGCGCAACCCCUGCAUCCCAGUUGCCAUCGGGCGAGCCGGGCACUCUGGAGGGACUGCCGGCGACAAGCCGGAGGAAGGUGGGGAUGACGUCAAGUCAUCAUGGCCCUUAUGUCCAGGGCGACACACGUGCUACAAUGGCCGGCACAGCGGGAAGCGGAGGGGCGACCCUGAGCGGAUCCCUUGAAAGCCGGUCCCAGUUCGGAUUGCAGUCUGCAACUCGACUGCAUGAAGUUGGAAUCGCUAGUAAUCGCGGAUCAGCCAAGCCGCGGUGAAUACGUUCCUGGGCCUU